ACAACUGAUAUUUGUCGCGAACGCCGCUUUAUAUUUUGUGUUUGAUAAAAUAGCUGUUUGUUGAACAUAAUGGCCUUUACAACCAUCCGUGAAUUCCAGUUUGUUGUGCAAAGAUACAAGUAUAAUGAGCAACGCAUAUUCUGCCACACCAAAGUGCUGCCGAGCCCGGUCACUACCGUUGGCAAGAAAUCGUAUAACUAUCACUGGGUGACGCCUGCCAAGUGGAAAUUGAUUGCGGGGACCUGCUCGAUAUGGUGGGGGAGCAGCCUGUUCGGAAAUUGCAUGCAUGUGGUCACAUCCAAGUCCAAGUGGAUUCCACCGAAUAUGAGGAUUCCUAUUCAGAUGACCAUUUGCCAGGUUUUACCCCAUUGAAAAAUGAUUGCUAUCUCAAUAUGCAGCUGGAAUAUAUUGACGAUAUGGACAGCUCCAGCUCAAGCUCCAGCAGUCUAGAAAUCUCAACAUCCGAAAGCGACCAAGUGACCCGUGACCUCUCCUGAAUCCGAAUUGGUAUGCAGGAAUGAUGGAAAGUUCGUCCAAA